rnacentral:lncRNA from 1 species
AGCAAAAACAACAGCAACGCCCGACUACAAGUGGCCCAUGAUGACGUCAGACGCAUUCAACAGCAGCAAUGUCCUGGGUGGGGCAGAAAUGGUUAACUCCAUUUAGAGACUUCAUUUCCUCAAGUUCCAGGACUAUCACAAACC